ACAUCCCUGUAAAGAGUUUAUUUUGAAAUUAAUCGCUUCUUUCUUCUCUUUGGAAGAUUCCCACAUUUUUUUGCAUAUAGAUGAAUAAAAAGAAAGUCCAAAACAUUUCAAGUUCAAUCUGUCAAUCAUUUCUAUUUUGUGUGAGGAAAUCUUGGAUAGUAUGAUGUCAAGUUCUUUGAGUUACCAAAUGAUUACUUGAGUUUUUGGAACAGAAUUACCACAGUUUAGCGUGUACAAGUCAUGUAUUGGGUCAGUUCUUGGUAAUGAGUUGUGAGAAAUUAUUCAUCAUUUUUUUUAUUAUUUUCAUUAGAUUCAACUGGUAGUAUUUGUUACAAAUGUAAGGUUCCGGACAGAUUUAUUACUUUGCUAUAUUCCUACUUCGACAAAUGUUCAUUCGUGUGAUAUUAUUUAAGAAAUAGGCAAUAUAGUUUUGAAUCUUAUCAUAUCAUUAAUCAUGGUGUCUUGAUCUAAACUGCCAAGAGAUAAACUUAUAUGUGUUCCUCUAUGAAAACACAAACUAGUUGACUAGAGUAUGUUUAGUUUUUAUUAAGUUGUUACAGCGGACGUGAUGUAAAAUUCUCAUUUGUCACACAGGCGCAGUUUCUCUAAGAAUUAUUGGAAUAGUGCAAGUUUUUAAAUGAAGAGAAAAGAUUGGAACUAACUUUGCCAUCAUUUGUAUCUUCUUAAAUAUCUCUUUGGAAAAUAGUUUGCCAAUUAUUUGUCAUACAUGGAGUUUAAUAUAUCUAUUAAGUUUGAGUAUUGAAUCUAGUCGCCUAACUUUCCUUUGGGAAUAUCAAACGAGGUUGGUAAAUGAAAUUCACAAUAGUUAUUAGAGAGGCUGCUUCAGGUUCUUGCAAAUCUUUGUAAGUAUUCUGAAAUUUACAAUUUAUUCCUGCCUUUACAUCACCACGCAGCAAUAAGUACAACUAUUAACUAUUUGCUGCCAUUUUUAGUUUUACCACCAUUGAUGUUUUUUUGACUUCUGAAUUCUAAGAAUUUUCGAAAUUAUUAAGCUAGAUUGUACGGUAUAGUUCGAUUUGAUAGAAGUGGAAAAGCUUUUUUUAUUCAUUCAAGUUUGUUUACUGAAGUGUUUCUUGAGUAAGAAUAGGAAAACUUUAUGCUGCUUUAUAUUUGAUUGUAUUUAUUUCAGAAUUGACGUUACUGAAUGCUCCAAGACACGACGGAACUGGUGUAAAUGUCAAAAAUGUAAAAAAAAACCUAUUUGUAUUUGAGAUGGAAACUGCAUACCUGUUUCGAAUUUUUUUAUCCGCUUUAUCAUUUGUUGUGUACUCAAAAAAGUAUUAUUUCCUUUCCCUUCAGUAUUAUGUCAUGUUUAAUUUAAAACUUGACACAAUAUUUUGGAACCGAUUGAGAGUUGGAAGUGGGGGAUGUGUCCCAAAAGUCACAUCAUCUAACUACUGAUAAAGAAAAAUGUUUUUUCAAAUCAAACCUAUAUCAUAUCUUCACUGUUUACGUAAUUGCUAAUGUGUACCUUUUCAGGCUGCCCCCCACCCCUACAACUUUUUUAUCUCUCCCGGUAUAAUUGUGGUUAUUUUGUGGCUGAAAUGGUACCACAAUUUGGGUUUUCAAAUGGAACACCUAUUAUAUUUAUACUUUUAGUAUUCAGCAGUUUAUUAUAUACAAACAUCCUAUUUUGGUGAAAAAAUAGUGCGAAAUACUUUUUAUUUCUGAAAAAUAUUUGAUUUGCUACCAUAAGCUUUGAUUAACACAAAUCAGUUCUUCUGGUUUCAUUUGAACCACCAAAAUUCCACAUUUUCAUACCAGGAGAUACAAAAAACUUAUGGAGCGAGCCUGAAUCAGUUCACACACACUAUAGGAUUUGUAACGCAUGUCUGUUGAAAAUAUUUUUUUUGGAGAUUCGUUUCUGUGAAAAAAAACUUUGACUUCCAAUUCCUCACAUUUCUUCCUUAUUUUGGAAGUUUCCCAAAAUUUUUUGUAUUUGGAGGAGCGAAAUUCAAAAACUUUUUGUAUUUUGUUGAUAGAAAUUUUUGUAUUGACACCUCGUUGAAAAGUUCUGUCUUGGCAUAUUUGGUAAUUUGAUUUUUUUUUGUAUAUUUACUGAACAUAUUCAAUUCUAUAUAUAGUGAUGGUUUGUUAGUUAUGCUCAUUGUGUGAAUCGUUUUAUGCUUGUGUAGGAUGUAGUAUUCUUAAGGAAAGUGUGUAGUUUUUUGUUUAUCGAAGACUGCAAGCUUUCGAUACGCACAAACUGUUGAAUUGAUUGUGGUUAGAUUGGAAAUGUAUAUCAUGAUUAAUGUGAUUUUGUAAACAGCCAAUUUUCAGUGUAGUUCACUGGUACUUAGCCAAUAUUCUGAAAUGACGUGCUCAUCCUAUUCGUAUCUACAUUUAAAAAUGGCUCAUCUCAUUCAUGAUGCAAAUCAACUUGACAAUGUGCUCUUCCAAAUCUUUUUUGGAGAAUUUUUAAAGUUACUAAAUUUUCUAUCGGAGUUCUUGUAGCAAGGACGAAUAUUUUUGAUAAAACAAAAUAAAAUCAAAAAUGAUAAAAAGGCAGCGCGGUACUUUCUUCUGAAUGUAUGUUUCCCUUACACCUGAAAUUACUGCCAUUACUCAAUAUCGUCGUCGCCAAAAAUGAAAUGUUUCCCGUUGAGGAUCGUAUUUGCCUGCCAUUCGGGAACACACUGUAUAGCUAACCAAAUAUUAUUGUAAUUGAACGAAUUAUUUCUUGAAAAGAAAAUUGUUAGUAAUCUACUCAUCUAUUGUUAUUGAUAAUGCAAUAAUAUUGACAUCAAUAUUGUUAUUGAUAAAGACAAAAAAAGUGUCCGUCAGGGCUGAGGUACAUUGUCAUCAAUAAACAUUCAAUGUAUCGGAUGAUUUUUUUACUCUAACCCUGGAAAUCAAUUUAUACAUUGUAAUUCAUUAUAUUGAAUUCAGGACAGUUUUCCUUUCUUUCACGAACAAUUGUCAAAGAUUUUAAAUUAUGCCUUAGUGUGACAUUGGAUUGGUUAUUGUUAUUUGAACUUUGCAAAGGUGUCUGAAUUUUAAAGACGAGUUGAAAACAUUUUAACAUUGAAAUUAGUGACUCAGUAUUGGUAUUAUAUAUUUUUUGUGUAAUUUUUUAAUAUUACAUGUAAA